rnacentral:rRNA from 1 species
UACGUAGGUGGCGAGCGUUGUCCGGAUUUACUGGGCGUAAAGCGCGCGCAGGCGGUUCUGUAAGUCCGUUGUGAAAGUCAAAGGCUCAACCUUUGAAAGCCGAUGGAUACUGCAGGGCUAGAGUCCGGAAGAGGCGAGUGGAAUUCCUGGUGUAGCGGUGGAAUGCGCAGAUAUCAGGAGGAACACCAAUAGCGAAGGCAGCUCGCUGGGACGGUACUGACGCUAAGGCGCGAAAGCGUGGGGAGCGAACAGG